GCGGUUAGACGCUCGUAGUCGAAUGUUUGUUCAAGCCUAGCGGUCCUCCCUAGUGGUGCGUACUCAGUUCGGUCUGAGCACCUCUCUGAUACUCGCGUUUACAGUUCAUUCUGUGGCGCGUUGUUCAGAACUUUUACUUUGAGGAAAUGAGAGUGCUUCAAGCAAAUGUGUGUUAUGAAUACGUUAGCAUGGAAUAAUCGCAUGGGACAUCCUUCUGAAUUUGUUGGUUUUUGGGUAGAUGUAAUGAAGGUGGGGAUAGUUGGGGGCAUUCGUAUUUAACUGUUAGAGGUGAAAUUCUUGGAUUUUUUAAAGAUGGACUACUGCGAAAGCAUCUGCCAAAGAUGUUUUUGUCGAUCAAGAACGAAAGUUAGGGGAUCGAAGACGAUCAGAUACCGUCCUAGUCUUAACCUUAAACUAUGCCCACUAGGGAUUGGGGUCAUCAGACUCUUGAUGUCUUCAGCAUCUUCAGAGAAAUCAAAGUUUUUGGGUUCCGGGGGGAGUAUGGUCACAAGGCUGAAACUUAAAGGAAUUGACGGAAGGGCACCACCAGGAGUGGAGCCUGCGGCUUAAUUUGACUCAACACGGGAUAACUCACCAGGUCCAGACUUAGAAAGGAUUGACAGACUGAUAGCUCUUUCUUGAUUCUAUGGGUGGUGGUGCAUGGCCGUUCUUAGUUGGUGGAGUGAUUUGUCUGGUUAAUUUCGUUAACGAACGAGACCUUAUCUUGCUAAGUAGUACGAAAAACUACACAGUUUGAACGUGAUCUUCUUAGAGGGACUUUGUGUGUUUAGCACGAGGAAGUGUGAGGCAAUAACAGGUCUG
rnacentral:rRNA from 1 species